UAAGCAUAUCAAUAAGCGGAGGAAAAGAAACCAACAGGGAUUGCCCUAGUAACGGCGAGUGAAGCGGCAACAGCUCAAAUUUGAAAUCUGGCGCAAGCCCGAGUUGUAAUUUGUAGAGGAUGCUUCUGGGUAGCGACCGAUCUAAGUUCCCUGGAACAGGACGUCAUAGAGGGUGAGAAUCCCGUAUGUGACCGGCCCGCACCCUUUACGUAGCUCCUUCGACGAGUCGAGUUGUUUGGGAAUGCAGCUCUAAAUGGGAGGUAAAUUUCUUCUAAAGCUAAAUACCGGCCAGAGACCGAUAGCGCACAAGUAGAGUGAUCGAAAGAUGAAAAGUACUUUGGAAAGAGAGUUAAAAAGCACGUGAAAUUGUUGAAAGGGAAGCGCCUGCAACCAGACUUCGUGGCAGUGUUCCGCCGGUCUUCUGACCGGCUUAUUCUCUGUCGCGAGGCCAUCAUCGUCUAGGCCCGCCGGAUAAGACCUUAGGAAUGUAGCUCACCUUCGGGGGAGUGUUAUAGCUUAUGGUGAUGCGGCGCGGCUUGGGCGAGGUCCGCGCUUCGGCAAGGAUGAUGGCGUAAUGGUUGUCGGCGGCCCGUCUUGAAACACGGACCAAGGAGUCUAACAUCUAUGCGAGUGUUCGGGUGUCAAACCCCUACGCGUAAUGAAAGUGAACGGAGGUGGGAACCGCAAGGUGCACCAUCGACCGAUCCUGAUGUCCUCGGAUGGAUUUGAGUAAGAGCAUAGCUGUUGGGACCCGAAAGAUGGUGAACUAUGCCUGAAUAGGGUGAAGCCAGAGGAAACUCUGGUGGAGGCUCGCAGCGGUUCUGACGUGCAAAUCGAUCGUCAAAUUUGGGUAUAGGGGCGAAAGACUAA
rnacentral:rRNA from 1 species